rnacentral:rRNA from 1 species
AGCGAACGCUGGCGGUAGGCCUAACACAUGCAAGUCGAACGGCAGCACAGUAAGAGCUUGCUCUUACGGGUGGCGAGUGGCGGACGGGUGAGGAAUACAUCGGAAUCUACUUUUUCGUGGGGGAUAACGUAGGGAAACUUACGCUAAUACCGCAUACGACCUACGGGCGAAAGCAGGGGAUCUUCGGACCUUGCGCGAUUGAAUGAGCCGAUGUCGGAUUAGCUAGUUGGCGGGGUAAAGGCCCACCAAGGCGACGAUCCGUAGCUGGUCUGAGAGGAUGAUCAGCCACACUGGAAUUGAGACACGGUCCAGACUCCUACGGGAGGCAGCAGUGGGGAAUAUUGGACAAAGGGCGCAAGCCUGAUCCAGCCAUACCGCGUGGGUGAAGAAGGCCUUCGGGUUGUAAAGCCCUUUUGUUGGGAAAGAAAAGCAGCAGGUUAAUACCCCGCUGUUCUGACGGUACCCAAAGAAUAAGCACCGGCUAACUUCGUG